rnacentral:rRNA from 1 species
GAUGAACGCUGGCGGCGUGCCUAAUACAUGCAAGUCGAGCGAACAGACGAGGAGCUUGCUCCUCUGACGUUAGCGGCGGACGGGUGAGUAACACGUGGAUAACCUACCUAUAAGCCUGGGAUAACUUCGGGAAACCGGAGCUAAUACCGGAUAAUAUAUUGAACCGCAUGGUUCAAUAGUGAAAGACGGUUUUGCUGUCACUUAUAGAUGGAUCCGCGCUGCAUUAGCUAGUUGUUAAGGUAACGGCUUACCAAGGCAACGAUGCGUAGCCGACCUGAGAGGGUGAUCGGCCACACUGGAACUGGGACACGGUCCAGACUCCUACGGGAGGCAGCAGUAGGGAAUCUUCCGCAAUGGGCGAAAGCCUGACGGAUCAACGCCGCGUGAGUGAUGAAGGUCUUCGGAUCGUAAAACUCUGUUAUUAGGGAAGAACAAAUGUGUAAGUAACUAUGCACGUCUUGACGGUACCUAAUCAGAAAGCCACGGCUAACUACGUG